AUGGCGGUGGUGGCUUCUAAACUGACGGGCUUGCGGCUUGGAGGAAAAUCCAAACAAACAGGUUUUUGGAGGUGGCAGAGAAAACAUAGCAAAAAUGGAAGAAAAAGAGAAAAAAGCAAAGGAAGCAGUGAGGAAAGAUGGAAAGGAGCCAUAGCCAAUUUGACAGAGAUGGCAUUCAAUUUGGAGUCCCUCCACAAACUACUCCUCAAGAAAGCUGUCUUUGUGGAUGGAGAGACUUUCACUAAAGCUUCACUCAGUUCUGAACAAGCCCGUACCAUCAAGGUUCUUGAACAAAGGGUAGACCUUGGAAAGAGAACUUGAUGCUGCUAUUUCUGCUGCUGCAGGUGCAGAAAAGCCACAGGCUGAGGCAGCAAAAAAAAAAAGCUGCUGAAUUUCGUGCGCAAGAAAUCACAAGAGAACUUGAGAAGACUACAAAGGUAUUUCAACUGCAUAUGGAAGAGUUGCGUGCCAAGCAAGUUGAAAUAUCUAAGCGUGAUAAUGAAAUCAAACUUUUGGAAGCUAUGAUUCAGACACUUGGGUCCUGGGGGGAAAGAAUCACACUCUCUCUUCGAGAAGGUAAUACUUUCCUCUCUAUCUUUCCUUCUCUCUCUCUCUCUCUCUCUCUCUCUCUCUUUUAUUCCUUUUGUUCUUUUUCAUUUCUGUCAAGUGGGAUAAAGUGGGUUGUAAAAUGCUGGGUGAGUAUAGUGUAGUGUGUUGUUUCAUCCUGAAAAUAGAAGAUAUAUGAACUUUUUAAAUAUUUUUACCAAUUUAUGCAAUGAAACAUAUGUUAUUUGCUUUAUUA